GACGAACGCUGGCGGCGUGCUUAACACAUGCCAGUCGAACGGAAAGGCCCUUCGGGGUACUCGAGUGGCGAACGGGUGAGUAACACGUGGGUGAUCUGCCCUGCACUUUGGGAUAAGCCUGGGAAACUGGGUCUAAUACCGAAUAGGACCACGCGCUUCAUGGUGUGUGGUGGAAAGCUUUUGCGGUGUGGGAUGGGCCCGCGGCCUAUCAGCUUGUUGGUGGGGUAAUGGCCUACCAAGGCGACGACGGGUAGCCGGCCUGAGAGGGUGACCGGCCACACUGGGACUGAGAUACGGCCCAGACUCCUACGGGAGGCAGCAGUGGGGAAUAUUGCACAAUGGGCGCAAGCCUGAUGCAGCGACGCCGCGUGAGGGAUGACGGCCUUCGGGUUGUAAACCUCUUUCAAUAGAGACGAAGCGCAAGUGACGGUACCUAUAGAAGAAGCACCGGCCAACUACGUG
rnacentral:rRNA from 1 species